CUCUAGUUUAGCAGAUAAAUUAGGGCAAAGGAG
rnacentral:ncRNA from 1 species